rnacentral:lncRNA from 1 species
GGACGUUUUUAUUCUUCUAUUUACACCACUGAGGCCAACACCACUCCCUCCGCAUAUGGGUGAGCAGCGGGUCGGACCCUGACCGGCCCGAACCGACGAUCUGACGGACCGAACCCACCACCCGAACAUCAAUCCGAUUCGAUCCGGAUUUAUUCUGCCGAAAUUUAAAAAUUUUAUUUUCCCUGUUUUACACUCUAUUUAGUUGCCUUAGUUUUUACAUUAAUCCCAUAACACUCACACUAUCAAGCUUCUUGGUUCCAUGCCAUUUAGCAAAGGAAGAAGCUAAUCCAAAUAUUUAUUAUUUAUGCUUAAAGAUGUGGUUAAGAGAGACUGAAUCAUAAUUGCAUUCAAUAUAACAAAGAAUAGCUCAAGAAUUGAGAACUCACACAUUUAUAUUCAAGACAUAAUAUCAAAUUAUUAAUGCAAGUUAGCAGGAUAGAGAAGAGCAGGUUGCCAAAUGAAAUGAUCUCCAAAAGAAUAAAAAGAGAGUUAAAAAUUUUGCUCACCCCUACCGCCGUAGACGGCGACUCCACCGACUUUCGGGGUGACGAAAGUGAAUACUGCGAGGCUGGAGCCGAGGGUGGAAGAGAAAAAUGGGUGGAUGAGAGAGAGAGAGAAAAGAAUAAC